AAUUAUUUCUACGAAUAUUUAUCUAAUUUAUGUAUACAUUUUAAUAUAUAUAUUAUAAUUUAUUUAAUGCUUGCUAUUAUUUGUUAUAUGAUACUGAAACCUACUUAACCUGUUAUACCUACUCUAUACACUGAAAAAUAUAGCAAUGGAAAAAUUGACAGUAAUAUUACUUUCUUUUAUGCUGCAGGCCACGCGUAUAUCUGGGGCCACUGAUUGUACUCCACCGUGGAUGGCUCAAAGUAAUCCGUUUUACGCAAAGAUUUUAUCAAAAUCAGUCUACAGAUGUCCAUCGGUUUUUGGGGACUCAAAUAAGGAAUACUGUUGUUACAAUUCGGAUGGAGACGUUGAAUGUUGCAAUUAUCAAGAAUAUUUCGUUUUUAGAUUAUUUUGUCUUUUUCCAAUUAUUUUAAUAGUGUUGAUCAUUCUAUCAUUCGUCUGCUGUAUGUGUUGUUGGUUGUGCCCAUUUUGCAUGAUUUAUAAACGCAGACAAACUAGAAGAUAGCUGAAGACAACCAAGGUGCAUCUCAUUAUCUCAAUAUUAAUAAUAAAAAAAAAAAUUAUAUUUUAUAAAGAAGAAAUAAUACCAUGUUUUUAUUAGCUCUGACCUCUGUAUAUUCUCUUGAUGUUUAUAACUAUAUCUAUAGCAGCAAUUCUCAACCUUGGGUUUCCAAACAUUUUUAAGGUCAACUAUACGCAACGUAAAAUAGAUACCUAUCAAGGACAAAUGCCUAAAAACCACAUUUUUAACAUUCAGUAUCUACAUCAAGAAGCCAAAGUAAGAUUAAAUAGAAAUCAAUCUGGUAUCCAGGUCUCUUCAGUAAGCUGUAAUCAUAUUUUAUUAUUUUAUUAAAGAAUUCAGCAAUGUUUUAUAACACGUAUAAACAUACACAAAAUAUUUUUUAAAUGCAACUAAAACUUAAAGAUCAGUUUUUUUUAAGCAGCCCCAUAAUGAAAUACAAAAGCCCCAUUAAAAAGUACUUAACAUUUUGUUGAAAAAAUGCUUUCCAUCAUUUUAGAUUCUGAGCAGAGAAAUGAAUGCAUAUUGAUUUUACAAUAAUGUAUUUAGUUUUAAAUUAUUUUUAUUAUUUGUGUCUGUGUACAGUAUACAGGGAUAAGCAGUCGAAAUAUUGCUUCGAUUUUCAACUUCAGU